AUUGAACGCUGGCGGCAUGCUUUACACAUGCAAGUCGAACGGCAGCACGGACUUCGGUCUGGUGGCGAGUGGCGAACGGGUGAGUAAUACAUCGGAACGUGCCCAGUUGUGGGGGAUAACUACUCGAAAGAGUAGCUAAUACCGCAUGAGAACUGAGGUUGAAAGCAGGGGAUCGUAAGACCUUGCGCAACUGGAGCGGCCGAUGGCAGAUUAGGUAGUUGGUGGGAUAAAAGCUUACAAAGCCGACGAUCUGUAGCUGGUCUGAGAGGACGACCGGCCACACUGGGACUGAGACACGGCCCGGACUCCUACGGGAGGCAGCAGUGGGGAAUUUUGGACAAUGGGCGAAAGCCUGAUCCAGCAAUGCCGCGUGCAGGAUGAAGGCCUUCGGGUUGUAAACUGCUUUUGUACGGAACGAAAAGCUUCGGGUUAAUACCCUGGAGUCAUGACGGUACCGUAAGAAUAAGCACCGGCUAACUACGUGCCAGCCGCCGCCGUAA
rnacentral:rRNA from 1 species